rnacentral:lncRNA from 1 species
AUUGUAAAGAUUCUCUGGGCUCUGGUAACACCGACAAUCCUAAUAAUCACCUUCAUCUUUACACUUCUCCGCUACCAGCCACCAACCUACGGCAAGUACAAGUUUCCCAGCUACGCCCCUGCAAUCGGAUGGAUUAUUGCAGUGCUGCCCCUUCUACCGAUACCUGUCUACAUGGUCAUGACUGUCAGGAAGCACAUGGCGACCAAUUCCCUGAAGAAGAGUGUACGUCUUGCCUUGCGGCCUGAUGAUGAAUGGCGUCCUGCAAAUUCCAGAAGCCAGCAAGAUUACAGGAUGAAUCGACAAGAUAACAACCAACUAACAAGACUAUCCUCGUUUUGCUGUUCAAACAAUAAGGCCUAACAUUGUGUUUCAAUCUGGUCUUUAUUGUACUCAGACGCAGU